AGUCCACAUCGACGGGGAGGUUUGGCCCCUCGAUGUCGGCUCAUCACAUCCUGGGGCUGAAGCCGGUCCCAAGGGUAUGGCUGUUCGCCAUUUAAAGUGGUACGCGAGCUGGGUUUAGAACGUCGUGAGACAGUUCGGUCCCUAUCUGCCGUGGACGUUUGAGAUUUGAGAGGGGCUGCUCCUAGUACGAGAGGACCGGAGUGGACGAACCUCUGGUGUUCCGGUUGUCACGCCAGUGGCAUUGCCGGGUAGCUAUGUUCGGGAAAGAUAACCGCUGAAAGCAUCUAAGCGGGAAACUUGCCUCAAGAUGAGAUCUCACUGGAACCUUGAGUUCCCUGAAGGGCCGUCGAAGACUACGACGUUGAUAGGUUGGGUGUGUAAGCGCUGUGAGGCGUUGAGCUAACCAAUACUAAUUGCCCGUGAGGCUUGACCAUAUAACACCCAAGCA
rnacentral:rRNA from 1 species